AUUGAACGCUGGCGGCAGGCCUAACACAUGCAAGUCGAGCGGAUGAAGGGAGCUUGCUCCUGGAUUCAGCGGCGGACGGGUGAGUAAUGCCUAGGAAUCUGCCUGGUAGUGGGGGAUAACGUCCGGAAACGGGCGCUAAUACCGCAUACGUCCUGAGGGAGAAAGUGGGGGAUCUUCGGACCUCACGCUAUCAGAUGAGCCUAGGUCGGAUUAGCUAGUUGGUGGGGUAAAGGCCUACCAAGGCGACGAUCCGUAACUGGUCUGAGAGGAUGAUCAGUCACACUGGAACUGAGACACGGUCCAGACUCCUACGGGAGGCAGCAGGGGGGAAUAUUGGACAAUGGGCGAAAGCCUGAUCCAGCCAUGCCGCGUGUGUGAAGAAGGUCUUCGGAUUGUAAAGCACUUUAAGUUGGGAGGAAGGGCAGUAAGUUAAUACCUUGCUGUGUUGACGUUACCAACAGAAUAAGCACCGGCUAACUUC
rnacentral:rRNA from 1 species